rnacentral:rRNA from 1 species
GGUACAACCGGGGCAGGAGUCGGGGUAAGGUGGAGGGGGGAAGCGUUAUCCGUGUUUACUGGGUUUAAAGGGUGGGUAGGAGAGCUGAUAAGUCAGGAGUGAAAGUUACGGGCUUAACUGGGAAACUGCCAUUGAUACGGUUAGGCUUGAAUAUCGUAGAGGUAAGCGGAAUGUUGCAUGUAGCGGUGAAAUGCAUAGAUAUGUUACAGAACACCGAUUGCGAAGGCAGCUUGCUAUGCCAAUAUUGACGCUGAGGCACGAAAGCGUGGGUAGCGAACAGGAUUAGAUACCCGAGUAGUC